rnacentral:lncRNA from 1 species
UGGACAAUCCAGUCUUCAACACAGGUUGCCCCUUUAUUCAGUUCCCUUUCUUUCUCAACAUGUCCAUCCUCUGUGACUAUAGUUGAUUUGUUACUGCUGGAAUUCACAUCUUCUUCACCACUCAUUCCCUCGUAUGCAGGUUCUUUAUCUGGAGUAACUUCUACAACAUAGAGUCUUAAAGAACCCUGAGGUUCCUCGUAUGCAGGUUCUUUAUCUGGAGUAACUUCUACAACAUAGAGUCUCAAAGAACCCUGGGAACCAGUAGAUGAUUCAACCAACCUAAGCUCAUCAGUAGUAGUGAUAGUAACCAGGUCACCUUCUUGAUCCCUAUACUUGAUAAGUGCA